rnacentral:rRNA from 1 species
CCUACGGGAGGCAGCAGUGGGGGAUAUUGGACAAUGGGGGGAACCCUGAUCCAGCGACGCCGCGUGAGUGAAGAAGUAUUUCGGUAUGUAAAGCUCUGUCAGCAGGGAAGAAAGAAAUGACGGUACCUGACCAAGAAGCCCCGGCUAACUACGUGCCAUCAGCCGCGGGAAUACGUAGGGGGCAAGCGUUAUCCGGAAUUCAUGGGUGUAAAGGGAGCGUAGACGGUUAAGUAAGUCUGGAGUGAAAGGGCGGGGCCCAACCCCGGGACUGCUCUGGAAACUAUUGAACUUGAGUGCAGGAGAGGUAAGCGGAAUGCGUGGUGUAGCGGUGAAAUGCGUAGAUAUUAGGAGGAACACCAGUGGCGAAGGCGGCUUACUGGACUGUGACUGACGUUGAGGCUCGAAAGCGUGGGGAGCAAACAGGAUUAGAUACCCUAGUAGUC